rnacentral:rRNA from 1 species
AUACAGAGGGUGCAAGCGUUAUUCGGAAUUACUGGGCGUAAAGCGCGCGUAGGCGGAUGAUUAAGUCAGUUGUGAAAGCCCUGGGCUCAACCUAGGAACUGCAUCUGAUACUGGUCAUCUAGAGUUUAAGAGAGGGAAGUGGAAUUCCAGGUGUAGCAGUGAAAUGCGUAGAUAUCCGGAGGAACAUCAGUGGCGAAGGCGACUUCCUGGCUUAGAACUGACGCUGAGGUGCGAAAGCGUGGGUAGCGAACGGGAUUAGAAACCCCAGUAGUCC